rfam:Salmo salar isolate Sally breed double haploid chromosome ssa02, whole genome shotgun sequence.
UGCAUUCACUACUGUAAGUCACUCUGGAUAAGAGGCGUCUGCUAAAUGACUAAAA